UGGGGUGUAGCCAAGGGGUAAGGCAACGGACUUUGACUCCGUCAUCCGCUGGUUCGAAUCCAGCCAUCCCAGCCA
rnacentral:tRNA from 1 species